UACGUAGGGGGCAAGCGUUGUCCGGAAUCAUUGGGCGUAAAGAGCGUGUAGGCGGCCCGGUAAGUCCGUUGUGAAAGUCGAGGGCUCAACCCUCGAAUGCCGGCGGAUACUGUCGGGCUAGAAUCCGGAAGAGGCGAGUGGAAUUCCUGGUGUAGCGGUGAAAUGCGCAGAUAUCAGGAGGAACACCAAUGGCGAAGGCAGCUCGCUGGGACGUGACUGACGCUGAGACGCGAAAGCGUGGGGAGCAAACAGG
rnacentral:rRNA from 1 species